UGAGUGUGGUGGGGGGGGUUAACCAUGUCUCUUUAAGACAGCACAUACAGUAUUGUGGUACAUAAAAACUGUUUUCUAAAUACGUUUAUUAUUAAUAUAAUUUAAUUAGUCUAUUUAAGAAACUUAGCAUCAUUCAAAAUAACUAAAAUUCAAUGGACACAAUUACAAUUUUAAUGUGUGAAAAUUAUGUCUCUGACUCAAGAGAAAUGCAACAAAUGUUAUUUCAGAAUAUUUAUUUCCAACACUUUGAAAACAUGUCUCCAACUGCCCUAUGUCAGAAUAUUGUGCACGUUUCUCUCAAUGCUGCAUACAUCGUUUAAAAGAAGCCGUUCAAACGACAUCAUGUAACACAUUUUUGCUAGCUAGAAUGUUGAUAAAUUAGUCAGUGAAAUGUAAAGCUGCUUGAUUUUGCUGAUGUCUCAUGAUUUGAAGUUCACUGUUUCUAUUGUUAUUAUAAUUCUACCCUAACAUUUCAUUAAAUCUAAAUAUGAAAUAGAAACAAAAAUAUUAAUAGACAGGUCCAUAAUCUAAAAGACAGUCUUUCACAUGUGAAUGCAAAACAUGUUGGGUGAUACUGACUGACAAACUCGGGUAAACAUAUCUGCAGAUACCUGUCAGCUACUGUACUUCUAAUCCAGAGGUGCCCAAAGUUGGCCCACAAUAGAUCUUUAAUUUGGCCCAUCAUGCCACAUGAGAUAAGGAAAAAGAACAAAAGUCAUUGACGCAGAUGUUCAUAUUUUUAAUUAAACAUUUUCUAAAAUGUAUCAUUUUUUUGUUGUAUUUUUACAUUACAAAAAUGUAAAUUAAUAUUAAAUGCAAGGGAUUAAAGUGAAUUUUUUUAUGUUUCAUGCAUACUUGAAGGUGUAUAAAAUGCAUCACAAAACUUAAUGAACUCGGGUACUACAGGCUAAAAAUGAAGAGGUUUUGGCAGUGGCACACAGAGAAAAGGAUAUUUUAAAUUGAUUGGCAAAAUGAUUUUUUUUACAAAAAGCCUUGGAAAAUAAAACUGCAUUAGUUAUGCAUAAACAGAGUAAUGUUUGCUUAUUUAUUUUUAAAAUAUUAGAAAAUUAUAAAUUAGGGUUUAUCAGAGCAACUUUAAUUUUAAUAUAACACAACAACAUUUACUUUUGGGCCACGGCCCUCAGUCAGGUUUGGCCCUUGUAAGGAAAAUGUUCGGGCACCAAUCAAUGUGUAGUCUAUCUGAGGAGGUAACUGUUUAGCAUAUGAUAAUGCAUGCUUGUACAAAGUCAGUCCACAUAUUAUAAUGUUUGUCUUCAAUCAAUCAAUUUAAAUAAAAGAGAUGGGGACUUUAUAAUAUAAUAAGGGUCCAUAUAUCACAGUGAUAAAAGACAUACAUGUAUUUUUACUUUAACAUGAACUAAUGCUGAGUUAAGGCAUAUACUAUCAUAAACUAAGAGUCAUCAUUAAGAUGACAUGUUUUUCAUUGUUAGUUAAUGCAUUCAUUUACAAUGAAUUAAUUUGAGUUCAUGUUGUAAUUAAGUAAGUUCAGUAAGUUACAUGUCUUAACUCAGCAUUAGUUUUGUAUUUACUUAUAUUUAAGUAAGAAUUCAUUUAGGUAUACGUUUAAUGUUUCCAAUGAUGAGCAGUUAAUCCACUAAACCCAAAGAUAAUUCCUGAGGCAUGUUUAAAGAGUUUUGUAUUUCAUCAAAGAUUUUAUAUUUAAGAAAAUCUGAAAUCAUUCAAAAUAACUGUUAACAUGUUUGUCAACUAAACAUGUUUUGUCAACGUUAUAAACUUUAUAGAAAUAUUUUUUAUUAAUGACCAAGUAUAAAGAACCAUGCAUAGUGUGAAAACGCGGAUUAUAUAAAAGUAUAUAAUAAAGUGCGAGCAGAGGAUCAAUCAAACUUGGGCUGGAAUGAUUGUAGUGCAUCCAAUGCACCUUGGAAUUCGUAGUUUACAUCUACAGCAGCAUAUGCUACAGCAGUGACAACGCCAAAGAAAAGGACUACAUUUCCCAGAAUGCACCUGCACCCACUCAUCUGCCCCCACUCUUCAGGUGCGACUGCUUGACCUAUGGGCUUGACGGGAAAAUUCAAAAUCGCGAACCGUUACAGCCUGGACUUCUCGUUCGGUGUCUUUCUUUGUUUGCUUGCACAUCAACAGUAAGAGGUCAUGUACACUGUGGUCAACUUGUGGACGCUGAAGAGGUUUCUGGGUAAAGAUGAUAGAAAAAUGAAGUAACAGUGGAAGCUAAAACAUCAAACUGAUCCAGACACUGAAGAAAUUGAUGUCACUGCAAUCUGGCCAAAUUGAUACAACUAUAUUGAAGUAGCCUACUGUAAAGAAGCUGCAGAACGUCACAGAGACUCUGAGGACAUCAACACAGAAUAUCAAGGCUCCCAAGAGAUGUCUGUCCAGAUGAGGGUGCAUCAACGUUACCUUUGCUGACAAGUAUAUGCUUUACAAUGUAAAACCUAACAGUUAACUUAACUCAAACCAUUUAAGGAAAUUGGUUGCCUUAAAUCAUUAAGUUUUAAAAAAACAUACAUUUGAGUACUGUGAACUUAAGUCUUGUGCAAUUAUGCACUUAUAUUUAGGUAGUGUGAACUUAAAUAUAAGUGCUUAACUGCAUGUGACUCAAUUUGUUUAAGUUCACAGUACUCAAAUCUAUGUGUUUUAAAACUUGAAUGGUUUAAUGCAACCGGUUUUCUUAAAUGUGAGAAAUUACAGUGUUACAGUGAGAAAUGUUUGAAUAAUUCCAAGACAGAGCUCUGUGAUUGAUUCUACACUGCAAAAAUCACUUUCUAACACUUUUCAUCUUGUUUUCAGUAGAAAAACUAAAAAUUCUUAAAUCAAGAUGUAUUUUCUUGAUGAGCAAAAUUACCUUAGAAAAUAUGUCUAGUUUUUAGACAAAAAUAUACAAUUUAAGAUAAUUUGUGCCUAAACAAGAAAAAAUAUCUAACAAUGGGGUGAGAAAAUUGUGUUUUAAUUAAGUUUUUAAGAAAAAAGAAAACUUAAGAUUUUUUUCUCACACUUGGCAGAUAUUUUUGCUUGUUUUAAGCACAAAUUCACUUAAUACACAGACACACACACAUUUUUUAUUUGGUCUAAAACUAGACUUAUUUUCUUGGGUCAUUUUGUUCCUCAAGAAAAAGCAUUUUAAUUUAAAUAAUAUUUCUACAGAAAACAAGACAAAAAUACUAUGUAAGAAAGUAAUUUUUUGCAGUGUAAGACUAAUUUUUUUAGAUUAUUUAGAUAUUUACUACAUUACAGUGGCAGCUGGUGACUUCUUUUUUUUUUGUGAGCACUCGAUGCGAUGUUUGUCACAACAUGUAUAUAGCCUGUCAUUUGUGUGGUUCCCAAUUUCAAAAUAUGUGUUCUGCGUGUCGAGUGCGUGUAUGUGCAUCACGUGUUUUGACUAAACACGUGAUGCACGUGGUUUACAUGAAGCAACAAACACAUAUUUUAAAAACACAAGCAACACACAUGACACUCUGAACACUUAUUUUGAAUUUGCAACCCUCGGAUGAGCAGUCACGAGCCGCCACUGCUACAUUACAUUGUACUGCUUUGAAUGUAGUUUUCAUUGUUGCUUUUAUUUUGUUUUAUUUUACUCUAAUAUUGCUUUAUCUGUCUGUAUAUUUAUGAGUUUAAAUGGUAUUGUUUAUGUAUGCAACUUUUAAUAUUUGUGUAUUAUAUUAUUUUGUGAUUGUGACAAUUGUGGAUUGUUCAGUUUUUUUAUUAAAUAAACAUUUCAAACUCAA